rnacentral:rRNA from 1 species
UGGGCGCCUACCAUGCAGUCGAGCGGAACGAGUUAUCUGAACCUUCGGGGAACGAUAACGGCGUCNAGCGGCGGACGGGUGAGUAAUGCCUAGGAAAUUGCCCUGAUGUGGGGGAUAACCAUUGGAAACGAUGGCUAAUACCGCAUAAUACCUACGGGUCAAAGAGGGGGACCUUCGGGCCUCUCGCGUCAGGAUAUGCCUAGGUGGGAUUAGCUAGUUGGUGAGGUAAUGGCUCACCAAGGCGACGAUCCCUAGCUGGUCUGAGAGGAUGAUCAGCCACACUGGAACUGAGACACGGUCCAGACUCCUACGGGAGGCAGCAGUGGGGAAUAUUGCACAAUGGGCGCAAGCCUGAUGCAGCCAUGCCGCGUGUGUGAAGAAGGCCUUCGGGUUGUAAAGCACUUUCAGUCGUGAGGAAGGUAGUGUAGUUAAUAGCUGCAUUAUUUGACGUUAGCGACAGAAGAAGCACCGGCUAACUCCGUGCCAGCAGCCGCGGUAAUACGGAGGGUGCGAGCGUUAAUCGGAAUUACUGGGCGUAAAGCGCAUGCAGGUGGUUUGUUAAGUCAGAUGUGAAAGCCCGGGGCUCAACCUCGGAAUAGCAUUUGAAACUGGCAGACUAGAGUACUGUAGAGGGGGGUAGAAUUUCAGGUGUAGCGGUGAAAUGCGUAGAGAUCUGAAGGAAUACCGGUGGCGAAGGCGGCCCCCUGGACAGAUACUGACACUCAGAUGCGAAAGCGUGGGGAGCAAACAGGAUUAGAUACCCCUGGGUAGUCAA